GAGGACUUUAAUGAAGAAUGUGAGGACACAAGUUGUGAGGAAAGAGAAGAGCGUUUGCGUGAGAUACAGGAGCUCAGCAAAGACUACCAGAACACUAAAUGGCUCUUCGAAGAGGCAAAAAAGGCAGCAGACUGGUUGGAUGAAAACAGUGGGCUGAUAAAAAAUAAAUAUUGGCUGCCACGGGUGUUGGACAUGGAGGCGGAAGAGCAGGAGGAGGUG